UAACGCUGGCGGCGUGCUAAUGCAUUAAGUCGGGCGAACUUGCGGGAGCUUGCUCCCAAAAGUUAGCGGCGGACGGGUGAGUACACGUGGGCAACCUGCCUAUAAGACUGGGAUAACUUCGGGAAACCGGAGCUAAUACCGGAUAAUUCUUUUCUACUCAUGUAGGAAAGCUAAAAGACGGUUUACGCUGUCACUUAUAGAUGGGCCCGCGGCGCAUUAGCUAGUUGGUGAGGUAACGGCUCACCAAGGCCACGAUGCGUAGCCGACCUGAGAGGGUGAUCGGCCACACUGGGACUGAGACACGGCCCAGACUCCUACGGGAGGCAGCAGUGGGGAAUCUUCCGCAAUGGACGAAAGUCUGACGGAGCAACGCCGCGUGAGCGAAGAAGGCCUUCGGGUCGUAAAGCUCUGUUGUCAGGGAAGAACAAGUACCGAUCGAAUAGGGCGGUACCUUGAACGGUACCUGACCAAGAGAGACACAGGCUAAACUAACGUGGCAGGAAGACGAGGGUAAUACGUAAGUGGAAAGCGUGGUCCGGAAUUAUAGGGGCGUAAAGCAGGCGCAAC
rnacentral:rRNA from 1 species